CCUACGUGAGGCAGCAGUGGGGAAUAUUGCACAAUGGGGGAAACCCUGAUGCAGCGACGCCGCGUGAGUGAAGAAGUAUUUCGGUCUGUAAAGCUCUAUCAGCAGGGAAGAAAAUGACGGUACCUGAUUAAGAAGUCCCGGCUAACUACGUGCCAGCAGCCGCGGUAAUACGUAGGGGGCAAGCGUUAUCCGGAUUUACUGGGUGUAAAGGGAGCGUAGACGGCAGCACAAGUCUGGAGUGAAAUGCCGGGGCUUAACCCCGGAACUGCGUUGGAAACUGUGCAGCUAGAGUGCAGGAGAGGUAAGUGGAAUUCCUAGUGUAGCGGUGAAAUGCGUAGAUAUUAGGAGGAACACCAGUGGCGAAGGCGGCUUACUGGACUGUAACUGACGUUGAGGCUCGAAAGCGUGGGGAGCAAACAGGAUUAGAUACCCCUGUAGUC
rnacentral:rRNA from 1 species